AAUAGAUACCCAGGUAGUCCACCCCGUAAACGUUGGGAAACUAGUUGUGGGGUCCUUUCCACGGAUUCCGUGACGCAGCUAACGCAUUAAGUUCCCCGCCUGGGGAGUACGGCCGCAAGGCUAAAACUCAAAGGAAUUGACGGGGACCCGCACAAGCGGCGGAGCAUGCGGAUUAAUUCGAUGCAACGCGAAGAACCUUACCAAGGCUUGACAUACACGAGAACACUCUGGAAACAGGGGACUCUUUGGACACUCGUGAACAGGUGGUGCAUGGUUGUCGUCAGCUCGUGUCGUGAGAUGUUGGGUUAAGUCCCGCAACGAGCGCAACCCUCGUUCUAUGUUGCCAGCACGUCAUGGUGGGAACUCAUGGGAUACUGCCGGGGUCAACUCGGAGGAAGGUGGGGAUGACGUCAAAUCAUCAUGCCCCUUAUGUCUUGGGCUUCACGCAUGCUACAAUGGCCGGUACAAAGGGCUGCAAUACCGUGAGGUGGAGCGAACCCCGAAAAAGCCGGUCCCAGUUCGGAUUGAGGUCUGCAACUCGA
rnacentral:rRNA from 1 species